rnacentral:rRNA from 1 species
AAACCAGCACCUCAAGUGGUCAGGAGGAUUAUUGGGCCUAAAGCAUCCGUAGCCUGUUCUGUAAGUUUUCGGUUAAAUCCAUUAGCUCAACUAAUGGGCUGCCGAAAAUACUGUAAAACUAGGGAGUGGGAGAGGUAGACGGUAUUCGGUAGGAAGGGGUAAAAUCCUUUGAUCUAUUGAGGACCACCUGUGGCGAAGGCGGUCUACCAGAACACGUUCGACGGUGAGGGAUGAAAGCUGGGGGAGCAAACCGGAUUAGAAACCCCUGUAGUCC